rnacentral:rRNA from 1 species
UAAGAUUAUCGAAAGAUAAUGGACAGUUCCUAUAAGCUGACUGAAAAUGGUUAAGCUGUAUAGGGCGCAGGGCGGAUGCCUUGGCACCAAGAGCCGAUGAAAGACGUGAUAAGCUGCGAAAAGCUGCGGUUAGAUGCAAAUAAUCCUUGAUCCGCAGAUAUCUGAAUGGGGCAACCCGGCAGAGAAGACCUCUGUCAUCCUUAACUGAAUCCAUAGGUUAAGGAAGGGAACCCGGUGAACUGAAACAUCUAAGUAGCCGGAGGAAGAGAAAACAAAAGUGAUUCCGUAAGUAGCGGCGAGCGAACGCGGAAGAGCCCAAACCAGGGAGCUUGCUUCCUGGGGUUAGGACUGUAUAAUCGAUGGAGACUGCUAGAAGAAUGGCAUGGAAAGGCCAGCCAGAGAGAGUGAAAGCCUCGUAUCCGAAAGCGGUCGAAGCGAGACAGUAUCCAGAGUAGGACGAGACACGUGAAACCUUGUCUGAACACGCGGGGACCACCCCGUAAGGCUAAAUACUACUUGGUGACCGAUAGUGAAACAGUACCGUGAGGGAAAGGUGAAAAGAACCCCGGGAGGGGAGUGAAAGAGAACCUGAAACCCUGUGCCUGCAAGCUGCGAAAGCCCCAUACGAGGGUGAUCGCGUACUUUUUGUAGAACGGUCCGGCGAGUUAUGUGGAGAGGCGAGGUUAAGUACUUAAGGUAAAUAGCCGAAGGGAGACCGAGUCUGAAUAGGGCGACAAGUCACUUCACAUAGACCCGAAACCGGGUGAUCUAUCCAUGGACAGGAUGAAGCGGCCGUAAAAGGCUGUGGAGGUCCGAACACACAUCCGUUGAAAAGGGUGGUGAUGAGCUGUGGAUAGGGGAGAAAUUCCAAUCGAACUCGGAGAUAGCUGGUUCUCCCCGAAAUAGCUUUAGGGCUAGCCCUGUAGCAUGCCUAAUGGAGGUAGAGCACUGAAUAUCCGCGGGGGCUUCACCGCUUACCAAAGAUUAUCAAACUCCGAAUGCCAUAUAGGCUGAGCGCAGGAGUCAGACUACACGAGAUAAGUUGGGUAGUCAAAAGGGAAAGAGCCCAGAUCUACGGCUAAGGUCCCAAAGUGCGUGUUAAGUGGAAAAGGAUGUGGGAUUUCAUAGACAGCUAGGAUGUUGGCUCAGAAGCAGCCACACAUUCAAAGAGUGCGUAAUAGCUCACUAGCCGAGAGGUCCUGCGCCGAAAAUUACCGGGGCUGAAACACGACACCGAAGCCUAGGGAUUGGAUGUAUCUACGGGUACAUCUGAUCGGUAGGGGAGCAUUCUGUACUGCAUAGAAACUGUACCGAAAGGAGCAGCGGAGUGUAUAGAAGAGAGAAUGCCGGAAUGAGUAGCGAGAUGGAGGUGAGAAUCCUCCAGGCCGAAUAUCCAAGGAUUCCAGGGUAAAGCUGAUCUGCCCUGGGGAAGUCGGGACCUAAGCUGAGGCCGAAGAGGCGUAGGCGAUGGACAGCAGGUUGAUAUUCCUGCACUUAUGUAUAUCAGAACUGUGGGGACGCAGGCAAAAGGGUCGAGCCGGGGAAGGAAGAACCGGUCCCGCAAGGGGGAACGAAAAUAAGUAGAGAAGCGACAGAUAUGACUGCCAAGAAAAGCCACUAUAGCGUAUACAUAACCCGUACCGUAAACCGACACAGGUGGAUGAGGAGAGAAUCCUAAGGCCGACGGGAGAAGCAUUGUUAAGGAACUCGGCAAAAUGUCCCCGUAACUUCGGGAUAAGGGGAGCCUGAGAAAUCAGGCCGCAGAGAAGAGGCUCAAGCAACUGUUUAGCAAAAACACAGGUCUAUGCGAAACCGAAAGGUGAGGUAUAUGGGCUGACGCCUGCCCGGUGCUGGAAGGUUAAGAGGAGAGGUUAGAGCAAUCGAAGCUUUGAAUUUAAGCCCCAGUAAACGGCGGCCGUAACUAUAACGGUCCUAAGGUAGCGAAAUUCCUUGUCGGGUAAGUUCCGACCCGCACGAAAGGCGUAAUGAUUUGAGCACUGUCUCGGCAAUGCACCCGGUGAAAUUGAAGUACCAGUGAAGAUGCUGGUUACCCGCGCCAGGACGGAAAGACCCCAUGGAGCUUUACUCCAGGUUGAUACUGGGGUCCGGUACCAUAUGUACAGGAUAGGUGGGAGACUAAGAAGUAGUGACGUCAGUUGCUGCGGAGUCGCUGUUGGGAUACCACCCUUAUGAUGCUGGGCUUCUAACCAAGGAUCUUGAAACAGGUCCGGGGACAAUGUCUGCCGGGGAGUUUGACUGGGGCGGUCGCCUCCGAAAGGGUAUCGGAGGCGCUCAAAGGUUCCUUCAGAAUGGACGGAAACCAUUCGAAGAGUGUAAAGGCAUAAGGGAGCCUGACUGUGACACCGACGGGUGGAACAGAUACGAAAGUAGGACUUAGUGAUCCGGUGGUAUGAAAGUGGGAUUGCCAUCGCUCAACGGAUAAAAGCUACCCUGGGGAUAACAGGCUUAUCACUCCCAAGAGUUCACAUCGACGGAGUGGUUUGGCACCUCGAUGUCGGCUCAUCGCAUCCUGGGGCUGUAGCAGGUCCCAAGGGUUGGGCUGUUCGCCCAUUAAAGCGGUACGCGAGCUGGGUUCAGAACGUCGUGAGACAGUUCGGUCCCUAUCCGGCGCGGGCGUAGGAUAUCUGAGAGGAGCUGUCCUUAGUACGAGAGGACCGGGAUGGACGGACCGCUGGUGUAUCAGCUGCAUCGCCAGAUGCAUAAGGCUGGGUAGCCACGUCCGGAAGGGAUAAACGCUGAAGGCAUCUAAGCGUGAAGCCCCCCUCAAGAUGAGAUAUCCCUGCUUCGGCAGUAAGACCCCUUAGAGAGUAUGAGGUUAGAUAGGCACAAGGUGUAAGCAUGGUAACGUGUUCAGCUGAUGUGUACUAAUAGGUCGAGGGCUUAUCCAAAG